AACGAACGCUGGCGGCAUGCCUAACACAUGCAAGUCGAACGAGACCUUCGGGUCUAGGGGCGCACGGGUGCGUAACGCGUGGGAACCUGCCCUUAGGUUCGGAGUAACUCCCCGAAAGGGGUGCUAAUACCGGUUAAUGUCUUCGGACCAAGGAUUUAUCGCCUUUGGAUGGGCCCGCGUUGGAUUAGCUAGUUGGUAGGGUAAUAGCAUACCAAGGCCACGAUCCAUAGCUGGUCUGAGAGGAUGACCAGCCACGCUGGGACUGAGACACGGCCCAGACUCCUACGGGAGGCAGCAGUGGGGAAUAUUGGACAAUGGGCGAAAGCCUGAUACAGCAAUGCCGGGUGAGUGAUGAAGGCCUUAGGGUUGUAAAGCUCUUUUACCCGGGAUGAUAAUGACAGUACCGGGAGAAUAAGCUCCGGCUAACUACGUG
rnacentral:rRNA from 1 species